GAUAACGAACGAGACUCAAACGCCUUUAAAUAGAUGCUUGCAGGACUAUGGCGCUGAAAUCAUGUAUAUUCCAUUUAUUGGAUUGGUUUCGGCCUUUCUGAUUUGUGGCUUUAUGCAUGAUGGAGCUAUACCUGUUUGGUUUGUCUUAAGAGGACACUUUGCUUCUUAAAUGGACAAAAUGCGUCUAGCAUUAAUGAGAUUGAGCAAUAACAGGUCUGUGAUGCCCUUAGAUGUCCUGGGCUGCACGCGCGCUACAAUGAAGGUAUCAAUGUGUUUUAUCCUUGACCGAGAGGUAUGGGUAAACAUUGAACCACCUUCAUGGUUGGGAUU
rnacentral:rRNA from 1 species